UACGAAGGGGGCUAGCGUUGCUCGGAAUCACUGGGCGUAAAGCGCACGUAGGCGGAUUGUUAAGUCAGACGUGAAAUCCCUCGGCUUAACCGGGGAACUACGUCUGAUACUGGAUGGCUGGAGGUUGGGAGAGGGAUGCGGAAUUCCAGGUGUAGCGGUGAAAUGCGUAGAUAUCUGGAGGAAACACCCGUGGCGAAAGGCGGCCUCGCUGGGGACGGUACUGACGCUAAAGGCGCGAAAAGCGUGGGGGAGCGAACAGGA
rnacentral:rRNA from 1 species